AGAGUUUGAUCCUGGCUCAGAGUGAACGCUGGCGGCGUGCUUAACACAUGCAAGUCGAACGAGAACGGUCCUUCGGGAUGUCAGCUAAGUGGCGGACGGGUGAGUAAUGUAUAGUUAAUCUGCCCUUUAGAGGGGGAUAACAGUUGGAAACGACUGCUAAUACCCCAUACUCCUUUAUAGUUAAUCUAUAUUGGGAAACGUUUUUUCGCUAAAGGAUGAGACUAUAUGGUAUCAGGUAGUUGGUGGGGUAAGAGCCUACCAAGCCAAUGACGCCUAGCUGGUCUGAGAGGAUGAUCAGCCACACUGGAACUGAGACACGGUCCAGACUCCUACGGGAGGCAGCAGUGGGGAAUAUUGCACAAUGGAGGUAACUCUGAUGCAGCAACGCCGCGUGGAGGAUGACGCAUUUCGGUGUGUAAACUCCUUUUAUAUGGGAAGAUAAUGACGGUACCGUAUGAAUAGGCACCGGCUAACUCCGUGCCAGCAGCCGCGGUAAUACGGAGGGUGCAAGCGUUACUCGGAAUCACUGGGCGUAAACGCGCGCAGGCGGCCUUUUGAGUUGGAUGUGAAACCCAAUGGCUCACCCAUACAACUGCACCCAAACUAUUAGGCUAGAGUGUGGGAGAGGAAAAUUGUAAUUAGAUUGUGUACGUGAAAACCAGGAUAGAUACCUGUAGUCCACGCCUAAACGAUGAAUGUUAGUCGUCGGGUAGCUAGUCUAUUCGGUGAUGCAGCUAACGCAUUAAACAUUCCGCCUGGGGAGUACGGUCGCAAGAUUUAAAACUCAAAGGAAUAGACGGGGACCGCACAAGUGGUGGAGCAUGUGGUUUAAUUCGAAGAUACGCGAAGAACCUUACCUAGCCUUGACAUAUUAAAGAACACUUUAGAGAUAGAGUGGUGCCUUCGGGAGCUUUUAUACAGGUGCUGCACGGCUGUCGUCAGCUCGUGUCGUGAGAUGUUGGGUUAAGUCCCGCAACGAGCGCAACCCUCGUCACUAGUUACUAACGGUUCGGCCGAGGACUCUAGUGAGACUGCCUUCGCAAGGAGGAGGAAGGUGAGGACGACGUCAAGUCAUCAUGGCCCUUACGGCUAGGGCAACACACGUGCUACAAUGGGCAGGACAACGAGACGCAAUACCGCGAGGUGGAGCAAAUCUAUAAACCUGUUCUCAGUUCGGAUUGUAGUCUGCAACUCGACUACAUGAAGCUGGAAUCACUAGUAAUCGUAGAUCAGCUAUGCUACGGUGAAUACGUUCCCGGGUCUUGUACUCACCGCCCGUCACACCAUGGGAGUUGAUUUCACCCGAAGCGGGGAAGCUAAACUGGCUACCCUCCACGGUGGAAUCAGCGACUGGGGUGAAGUCGUAACAAGGUAACC
rnacentral:rRNA from 1 species